AGUGAACGCUGGCGGUAGGCCUAACACAUGCAAGUCGAACGGCAGCACAGUAAGAGCUUGCUCUUACGGGUGGCGAGUGGCGGACGGGUGAGGAAUACAUCGGAAUCUACUUUUUCGUGGGGGAUAACGUAGGGAAACUUACGCUAAUACCGCAUACGACCUACGGGUGAAAGCAGGGGAUCUUCGGACCUUGCGCGAUUGAAUGAGCCGAUGUCGGAUUAGCUAGUUGGCGGGGUAAAGGCCCACCAAGGCGACGAUCCGUAGCUGGUCUGAGAGGAUGAUCGGCCACACUGGAACUGAGACACGGUCCAGACUCCUACGGGAGGCAGCAGUGGGGAAUAUUGGACAAUGGGCGCAAGCCUGAUCCAGCCAUACCGCGUGGGUGAAGAAGGCCUUCGGGUUGUAAAGCCCUUUUGUUGGGAAAGAAAAGCAGCAGAUUAAUACCCCGCUGUUCUGACGGUACCCAAAGAAUAAGCACCGGCUAACUUCGUG
rnacentral:rRNA from 1 species